rnacentral:rRNA from 1 species
GAUGAACGCUGGCGGCGUGCCUAAUACAUGCCAGUCGAGCGAACGGACGAGAAGCUUGCUUCUCUGAUGUUAGCGGCGGACGGGUGAGUAACACGUGGAUAACCUACCUAUAAGACUGGGAUAACUUCGGGAAACCGGAGCUAAUACCGGAUAAUAUUUUGAACCGCAUGGUUCAAAAGUGAAAGACGGUCCUGCUGUCACUUAUAGAUGGAUCCGCGCUGCAUUAGCUAGUUGGUAAGGUAACGGCUUACCAAGGCAACGAUGCAUAGCCGACCGGAGAGGGUGAUCGGCCACACUGGAACUGAGACACGGUCCAGACUCCUACGGGAGGCAGCAGUAGGGAAUCUUCCGCAAUGGGCGAAAGCCUGACGGAGCAACGCCGCGUGAGUGAUGAAGGUCUUCGGAUCGUAAAACUCUGUUAUUAGGGAAGAACAUAUGUGUAAGUAACUGUGCACAUCUUGACGGUACCUAAUCAGAAAGCCACGGCUAACUACGUG